UUCCUUCCUUCCUUCCUUCCUUCCUUCCUUUCUUUCUUUCUUUCUUUCUUUCUUUCUUUCUUCCUUUCACAUGAGUUGAGGUGUAUGACAGUCAUUUGAUACUACUGGGGCACUAGCUCUCCAUGUACUACUGUGCAUUACAAUUGUUUAGGUGCAGAAUCCUGUUUUCUUAUUUGAGGAAUCUGAAGUUUCUAAGCGCCCUUAUAUUUAAUAAGCACUCUAGAAAUGUUUUCUACAUAUUUAUCUUUGAAUUAACUUUGUUUGAAUUCAUUUGUGUGAAUAGCAAUACUAGUUGGUUAGAAAAAAGGCUUAAGAUUGUUUAUGCCUCUGUUCAAUUAUAUAUUUGUUUGUAUCUGACAUUGAUUACUUAUAGUCAGAUAUGCUUUUGCUAAAAUGCAAAGGCAGAUGUGAAACCUAGCUUUGAUAAGUACCUUAUUUUGAUAAUCCCCAAUAAUGUUAACGAGUAUAUAACAGGUAUAGAGAAGUUUAUGAAUAAUUUUGUUACCUAUAUGCUCUUUAGCCACAAAAAUGUUUUCAACUAUACUAAAGAAAUCCAUAGCAAUGGUCUUAGUUCUUAGAAAUGAUUCAGCUUUCUUCAAUAACACAAGUAAUCUUAGGACCACCAACAAUUUCAGAUCUUUUUCAUGUUUUUUUUUUUUGGUCUGUUCUUUUUAUUUAUUUUUUUUUAUUAUUAGAUAUUUUAUUUAUUUACAUUUCAAAUGUUACUCCUUUCCAGAUUUCCCCUGCCCAGAAACUUCCUAUCCCAUCCCCCCUUCUCUUGCUUCUAUGAGGUUAUACCCCCACCCACCCACCCACCCACUCCUGCCUCCCUGCCCUCACAUUCCAUUACACUGGGGCAUCGAGCCUUCAUAGACCAAGGGUCUCUUCUCCCAUUGAUGCCCAACAAGGCCAUCCUCUACUACAUAUAUGGCUGGAGCCAUGGGUCACUCAAUGUGUACUCUUUUGUUGGUGGUUUAGACCCUGGGAGCUCUGGUAGUUGAUAUUGUUGUUCUUCCUAUGGGGUUGCAAACCCCUUCAGCUCUUUCAGUCCUUCAUCUAACUCCUACACUGGAGACUUCACGUUCAGUCCAGAGAUUGGCUUUGUGUUUAUUCUUUUUGCAUGUUUGCUUGUUUUUAAAAUUGAUUGGCCUCAAAAUCAUUAAGUAACUGAAAAUGACUUUAAACUCCUGAUCCUCCUGCCUCCACUGCCCAGUGGUGGGAUUGCAAGACUGGUUGUUUAUGUUUGUUUUUGUAGCUUUUGCUUUUUUUUCUUUUCUUUUUUUUAACUUUCUUUUAUGGUAGGAAACCCAAACCAGGGCCUUCUAUACAUUAUGUAUGCUGACAUAUGUCCCUAGUCCUUCACAACUCUUUUAUAGCAUCUUGUGAAAUGUUGCCCGUUCUGGGCAUAUAAUAUUUACCACCCCCAUUUGGAUUGUAGAAUCCUGGAAGAAAACAUGGGUGUGUGAUUGAAUGGAAUUUUGCAUGCUCAGCAUCCUUCAAGCUUAGCCAAUGUCCUUUGUCUUUGUGUUUGCAGCACCUUGUAUAUCUUCAGGUUGGCAUGCAUCCUGGCUUUGUCCUCUCCUUGCCCCUUAUUGUGUGCUGGUGGAUAAUUGUCAGUAUUGGUAUCUCUGUUUCAGUCAUCUUUUAUGGAAAAAUACCUUUCAACUAUGUCAUCCUCAUGGUAUAAUUUCAUACAUAGCCCUGAAAUUGUUUCUUUUUGCUAUAUAUUGAUGGUAUUGUGGUUUAGAAAGAAGUCUAAUGUUGCAGACAGUUAUUAUGCCAUAUGUGCACCAACUCACAAGAAAAUGACUAACUUCUCUGUUUAUCUGCAGCAGCGAAUCACCAUUGAGCCAGGCACAUCUUAUAGGCUUCAAGGGCUGAAACCAAACAGCCUGUACUACUUCCGUCUGUCUGCACGCUCUCCUCAAGGCCUGGGUGCUUCUACAGCUGAAAUAUCAGCUAGAACCAUGCAAUCAAGUAGGUGUCUCUCUCUGCUACCUUGUUGCCCAUUUCUCUCUAGGAAAUGUUUCUAACAUUUAGUUUUUUGGGGUUUUUUUUUUUUGGUUUUGUUUUUUGUUUUUUUGUUCUGUUUUGAACUAAAGAACAAACCUGGUAGUGUGCUGAGCCUUCAGCAACUAUCUCUGUGGCAUACACACACACACACACACACACACACACACACACACACACACACAUCUCUGGAUACAGGACACAGAUAGGACCUGUGUUGUUUUCAAACAUGGCACAAAUAAAAGACCCUCCAUUCCACUUCCUAAAUACAAAAUUUCAGAGAAGCUAAUUGACUAUCAUAGCUAGGAAAUGGGUGCAGUAGUUAGUUCUGUCCUCAUCCAGUAAAUGAUGUGGCUGCAGGGCUGGGCAGUGGUGGUGCACACCUUUAAUUCCAGAACUUGGGAGGAAGAGGCAGGUGGCUUUCUGAGUUUGAGGCCAGCCUGGUCUGCAGAGUGAGUUCCAGGACAGACAGAGAUACACAGAGAAACCCUGUUUGCAAAACAAAAAUCAGGUUGAAAUCACUGCAGAGAAAUCAGGCCAGAGCACAUCAGAGUAUGGAGUGGCAAAAAGCAAAAUGAUUUCCUUUUAAAAACAAGUGAUUAGCAUGUAUUUGUUCCUACUCAGGAGGAAGGCUCAGUGCAUAUGACUGGUUUUUUACUCCUGGAGAGUCCAUGUAGACACAGAAAAUCUCAGUUUAGAUAAAUCUGAGGAUAUUGGAAUAAUCAUAGGAACAUCUGUGCCCUGGAUGCCAUUUCGCUUCCUUAACUUCAUUCUCUUUUGAGCUUGCAUGUCUCAGCGUAGCCAAGUUUGUUAUAAUGGGGCUUCACAAUGCCCAGAACAUGUUGUUUUCUAUAAAUAUUGUCUAAAACAUUGUUUGUGAUGGAAAGUGUGAUGGUUUAUAAUGCUGCCAUUCACUCUUUAAUAAGUAUUAACAAUUAACCAUCCACUCAAUUUAUCUCGAACAAUUUUACAGCUACUGUGUGGGAUUUUUGUGUGUAGUAUUUUAACUGUAUUUCCUGACAUUGUGAUGUAUAGGGGUAAUUUGAUGGGAAAUAAUUGCUCAGAAGAUGUCUGUCUUAUGCUAGAAUGGACAGUAAAAGUGUGUGUUUUAGCUCUUAUGUAAAUCUGCUUUCGAUGAAUUACUGCAUCC
rnacentral:lncRNA from 1 species